rnacentral:misc_RNA from 1 species
GCGUUUGCAUGUCUAGUUACAGUUGACAAAAUGGCUGGAACCCUAAGCAGUGUUCAUUUUCAUGCUAUUCCGGAUGUAAUUCUUUCCAAUAUAUUUUCCUUGAUCACUGAUAUUCGUACCCGUAAUUCCAUGUCCCUUGUUUGCGUCAAGUGGCACUUGAUAGAGCGAUCCACUCGCACCUCUCUCACUCUGAGAGGCAAUAUCCGUGACCUCUUUCUCCUCCCAACUUGCUUUCGAGCUGUCACUGAUCUUGACCUCUCUUUCCUCUCCCCUUGGGGCCACCCGAUUUUUGAUUUCUCUUCCAACCCUAAACUUCUUGCUCAGCUUAUCCGUAGGGCUUUUCCCUCUGUUGCUUCUCUCACUGUUUAUGCCAGGAAUCCUUCAACUCUUCAACUUCUUGC